AAAUUCCGGACCCCACAAAAAUGAACAAGUUUAAUUCUUUCGGAAGCAUUCUGCAUUGCCUUCAUUGGUGACCCCACAUGUCUGCAUGAUCCAACGGCCAAUGGAUUACGACUACACCGCCUCAGAAAUUCUGCAGUGCAAAAGAGCCCUUACUGUUCUUAUGAAGCCUAGGAGGGGCAGACUACUUUGUGAAGGUGAGGUAUACUUCCUGGAUGUCUUCACGAAGUACACAAAGGUCUUAUCCACAGCCAUAUUGGACAGCACAAAAAUAGUAGCAGUAAGGUUCAACAGGCAAUGGUACAGAUAACAUCACGGCACAGCGAUGGGCACUCCGGUGUCGUGUACAUUUGCCAAUCUCUACUUGGCAUUCCUAGAGGCGAAAAUUAUAUAUACCUCUACCAACCCGUUUGUAAGCCGGAUAGCCUUCUAUAAGAGAUUUGUGGAUGACAUCCUGGUGAUAUGGAGGGGUACCGAAUCGGAGUUUACUGAAUUUAUCCAAUACCACAACGAGAACAAUAACCUCAACAUGCAGUUCACGUCGGUGUUCAGCACCUCAGAGGUUGCAUUUUUGGAUGUCAUAAUAGCCAUCAAAGAAAGAGAGCUCUGUACCAAAGGAUACAGAAAACCCACCACACCCUUACUGUACCUGCACCAUGACUCAUUCCAUCCACCGCAUAUGAAAGAAGCCAUCCCCUUCAGUCAGUUCCUAAGACUGAAGAAAAUUAAUAGCAAGGCAUCUGAUUUUGAGUAACAGUCAGAUGACCUAAGAGGACAUUUGAUAUCAAGGGGAUAUCCAGCUCAUACUGUUAACUGUGCCCUCCAAAAAACAAAAUCAUACUCUAGAGAGGAUCUCAUCUUCAAAAAGAAAAGCAGAAGAAAGAAAGAACAAAACGAGAAUCAUUUCACUUUCUCGUUUUAGUACAGUAAUCUAGCCCCAGAGAUUCGGAAAUCCAUCUCCAAGUACUGGCACCUCAUCAAGGACGACCCCACACUACAUGAAGUAGUCACGAGAAAGCCACUGAUCACUUACAGGAGAAGCACCACCAUAAAAAAUAAAUUAGUCGGGAGCAAAUUCAGUGCAGAACCAAACAAGGCCAAAAAGAAAACUUGGCUCGACCUACCUGCCCUAAAAGGUACCCACAAAUGCGGAAGGUGUUCAUUCUGUCAGCACAUGUUUACAGGCAGAAAUUUUAAAAUAGGUGGCUUGGACAUAUGUGUGAACGAUCUAAUCACAUGCAGGACACCCUACGUUGAGUAUUGCAUAAUGUGCCCCUGCGGACAGUUCUACGAAGGAUCUACAAUAAGACCUCUUUUCAUGAGGAUAGGUGAACACCUGCAACUCGCAGGACAAGGACUUGGAGUACCCAGAUUGGCACAACAUACCAGCGAUGUGCAUGGAGGGUCCACAAAUUGCCUUCGUUUUGUCGGAAUAGAGACUGUUAAAAGCACCAUCCCCGGCCAAAAUAAGCACACGCUACUACUGCACAGAGAAGCAAGGAUCAUAUCCAGAAGCAGAGCUACCGCCCCCCUCGACCUGAACGAAAGAAACUAGUGUAAUGCAUUUAUCUAACCUGUUCUCUUUCCCCUUUUUCAGCUUUUUUAAUUUUUUGUGGCCAAUAGUCCCACUCCCUAGACGUGCAUGAGUGUUCACUUACCCUUAGCAUACAGGUGUUUCCUGUGUUCCCGUCAGCUAUACUGGUAUCCAUGCAAAGGACAUCGGUCCAGCUCCAAUGUGUUUGCGCAUGCUCCCUGGUCUGUUACCAUGACUCCGGACCUGUCAGCUGUCUGCCCCCCUGCGGUGACUGUGUCUAUUUACAUGGUGCUGUGUGCAGCAGCGGAGAUAGCGGUCUGUUUGACUGCGAAAUGGGGCCGUCACCGCCCCUCUCGCAGCUCCCGGCGCUGUGUUCCUCCGUUCCUCCCGUGUGAUGUAACUGCACUACGAUUUCCAAAUAAACCCCUCCACAUUUGCUGAA